AGCCCUUGACAUGGCAGGACGGUUUCCAGAGAUGGAUUCCUUCCCUUCGGGGACCUGCACACAGGUGCUGCAUGGCUGUCGUCAGCUCGUGUCGUGAGAUGUUGGGUUAAGUCCCGCAACGAGCGCAACCCUCGCCCUUAGUUGCCAUCAUUCAGUUGGGCACUCUAGGGGGACUGCCGGUGAUAAGCCGAGAGGAAGGUGGGGAUGACGUAGACCUUGGACC
rnacentral:misc_RNA from 1 species